GGGGCUUCCAGAACCCAAACCAAGUCAGCAGCCCCCAGCCCCAGCCCCAGCCCCAGCCCCAGCCCCGGCCUCCCCUGUCUGAGGUGUCUGGGUUUAAUUUUCUGGUCAGUGCAGAAAGCAGGAGGAAGAGGACGAGGAGGAGGAGAAGAAAGGAGCGAGUUGAAGUUCUAAUGCAGUCGGCUGGGAUCUGUCACUCAGCGCACAGCCCGCUGACGACUCAGGGCAGCCCCAGCUGUAAGCAGCCCAUGAUUUAUGGACACCGAGUGAACUCCUGCGGCAGAAACCAGCCUUGAGAUCAGAGCGGCAAUAGGGCCCUUUUUUUGGCAGGAGACAGGGCCUGCAUUUUUCUCAUUCAUGCCAAACUGCUUUGCACGGCAAUUAGCUCUGUCCUCAUUUAGUCUCCAGUCCCAAAGGGUAAUGAAAGUCAUAUAUCAUCUUCAAGACUGCUAAUUAUUGAGCUCGCUUACAGUUGUCCGCCGACCGUCUGGAUUGUAAUCCAAACCAGCAGACUUCCGUGGGUGCGGUUAACUAAGGGAAGUUGUUUUUUGUGAAGAGAUUGCUCCGAUACAAGCUAAUAAUCCAUCAUAUCCAGAAGCAAAACAAAGAGCAUGGACUUCGGAGACAGACUUCCAGGAAUCGGAUCUCAGUUCCAUCAUUUACUUGUCCUGUGAUCAUGAGCAAGGGACAAGAGGGCUCCGGCGCGCUCUCCUCCCCAGGCCUGGGAAACAGGUUCUCAAGAGCCCUCCGACCCCCAAUCGAUCCCAGUCUCCCGCCUGGGACAGGGGAUGCUUGGAGAGCGAGGAGAGGGACGCGGGGAGCGGCACCUCCCCCAGGCCGAGGCUGGGCGGCCGAGUCCGACCUGCGCCGCUCUGAGCAAAACGAAACUCAAACUCCCAAAAUUCUCGACAGGGGAAUUUAAAAAAUUCCCCACCCCCCUUUCCUUUCACUUUUAACAAACCAGCAGCUGGGGGAAAAAUUAAACGAAAUGAGCGAUAGCUAAGGACGCUAUCUUUCCAAACUGUGAAACCCCUUUAAAAAAUAUUUUCGAAGGCCAGCCCCACAACUGGCCAGCUCUUCUGAAGCCUUUGCCUCUUCCUGAAAAUCACAUCAAAACAGUCGGAAAUGCGGCCAAGGUCCUGGGAUGGAGUAGCCGAGAGGCCCAGAGAACCCGCUGCUGCUGAAACCGCCAUGCUCUUCUUUCUCUUUAACCAAAAAAUAAAAAAGAUAAUAAUAAGAAGUAAAACCUUUUAAUACAUCAAAUAUACGGAAUUUUAAUCUUUAAAGCGAUACAUUGUCUAUUAUUUUAGUACAUGACGUAAACCUUACUUGUCCCCUUCUCAGCGGGUGGACUUAAAAAUUAAAAAUAGUUAAGUGUUCCUUUUAAAGAACAAAAUAAGGCAAAUGAGGUUUUGGAAUAGAAUUGUUUUUCCUUUUUUUUUUUUGUUUUCUUCCAGAAUACAUACAAAAAAAUACCCAUUCUCUUUCGAUGGUAUACACCUUAAAAAUAAUUGCAAUUUGAAAUCAGAGCUGACAAAUUGUGACUUGUUUUGUUUUUUUUUUCAUUUUUUGUAACAAACAUGCAUGUAAAUUUGUGUUUCAAUCAGACAUUAAAUAAGAACGUACAAUACAAUCAUAGCAAUUUUAAAGUAACAUUAAAGAGAAGACCUC
rnacentral:lncRNA from 1 species